rnacentral:rRNA from 1 species
CAGCAGCCGCGGUAAUACGGAGGGGGCUAGCGUUGUUCGGAAUUACUGGGCGUAAAGCGCACGUAGGCGGCUUGGUAAGUUAGAGGUGAAAGCCCGGAGCUCAACUCCGGAAUUGCCUUUAAGACUGCCGAGCUAGUAGGUGAGAGAGGUAAGUGGAAUUCCGAGUGUAGAGGUGAAAUUCGUAGAGAUCGGAAGGAACAUCUGUGGCGAAGGCGGCUCACUGGUCCAUUACUGACGCUGAGGUGCGAAAGCGUGGGGAGCAAACAGGAUUAGAGACCCCGGUAGUCCCUGUCUCUUAUAC